GCAUUGGCGCGGGGAGGAGCAGGGAUCUUGGCAGCGGGCGAGGAGGCUGCGAGCGAGCCGCGAACCGAGCGGGCGGCGGGCGCGCGCACCAUGGGGGAGAAACCCGGGACCAGCUCACCGUGUACUUGGGCAAGCGGGACUUCGUAGAUCACCUGGACAAAGUGGACCCUGUAGUGUUUGUGACCCUCACCUGCGCCUUCCGCUAUGGCCGUGAAGACCUGGAUGUGCUGGGCUUGUCCUUCCGCAAAGACCUGUUCAUCGCCACCUACCAGGCCUUCCCCCCGGUGCCCAACCCGCCCCGGCCCCCCACCCGCCUGCAGGACCGGCUGCUGAGGAAGCUGGGCCAGCAUGCCCACCCCUUCUUCUUCACCAUACCCCAGAAUCUUCCAUGCUCCGUCACACUGCAGCCAGGCCCAGAGGAUACAGGGAAGGCCUGCGGCGUAGACUUUGAGAUUCGAGCCUUCUGUGCUAAAUCACUAGAAGAGAAAAGCCACAAAAGGAACUCCGUGCGGCUGGUGAUCCGAAAGGUGCAGUUCGCCCCAGAGAAACCCGG
rnacentral:sRNA from 1 species